rfam:Pseudanabaena sp. PCC 7367, complete genome.
CCCUACAACCAAAUAAAACUGUAGACAGUAGGUGUCUGUUACUGGUCUUAAUUAGAAGUCUGAUCAAGAUUUCGCACAGAUUAGCAGCAAGACUUAAUUUCCUGCCGAGGUUGUUAACGAGGGAGUUAUGCUCUCCUUGACCUCUACCUGUUGUCGGUUAGGGGUCAUUGUUUUGGCGC